AAAAAGACAAACACUGGAUUUCCGUGUCAAACGUUUGACUGUCCGUUUUAUAUGAUUUUUUUUAUAAUUAGUAUUUUCAUUGUUAUUAGAUGAUAAAACAUGAUUAAUACUUUAUGCAUGACUUGUCUUUUAAUUUUUUUUAAAUAAGACGAACGGUCAAACGUUGGACACGGAAACCAGGGUUUGUCUUUUU
rfam:Oryza nivara chromosome 10, whole genome shotgun sequence.